UCCCUAGUGGCUCAGACGGUAAAGCAUCUGCCUACAAUGCGGGAAACCUGGGUUCAAUCCCUGGUUUGGGAA
rnacentral:tRNA from 1 species